GGGGGCCCGCAAGCGGUGGAGCAUGUGGUUUAAUUCGAUGCAACGCGAAGAACCUUACCUACUCUUGACAUCCAGAGAACUUAGCAGAGAUGCUUUGGUGCCUUCGGGAACUCUGAGACAGGUGCUGCAUGGCUGUCGUCAGCUCGUGUUGUGAAAUGUUGGGUUAAGUCCCGCAACGAGCGCAACCCUUAUCCUUUGUUGCCAUCGGUUCGGCCGGGAACUCAAAGGAGACUGCCAGUGAUAAACUGGAGGAAGGUGGGGAUGACGUCAAGUCAUCAUGGCCCUUACGAGUAGGGCUACACACGCGCUACAAUGGCGUAUACAAAGAGAAGCGACCUCGCGAGAGCAAGCGGACCUCAUAAAGUACGUCGUAGUCCGGAUUGGAGUCUGCAACUCGACUCCAUGAAGUCGGAAUCGCUAGUAAUCGUAGAUCAGAAUGCUACGGUGAAUACGUUCCCCGGGGCCUUGUACACACC
rnacentral:rRNA from 1 species